rnacentral:rRNA from 1 species
GGACGUGCGGCGUGCUAAUACAUGCAAGUCGAGCGGACAGAAGGGAGCUUGCUCCCGGAUGUUAGCGGCGGACGGGUGAGUAACACGUGGGUAACCUGCCUGUAAGACUGGGAUAACUCCGGGAAACCGGAGCUAAUACCGGAUAGUUCCUUGAACCGCAUGGUUCAAGGAUGAAAGACGGUUUCGGCUGUCACUUACAGAUGGACCCGCGGCGCAUUAGCUAGUUGGUGAGGUAACGGCUCACCAAGGCGACGAUGCGUAGCCGACCUGAGAGGGUGAUCGGCCACACUGGGACUGAGACACGGCCCAGACUCCUACGGGAGGCAGCAGUAGGGAAUCUUCCGCAAUGGACGAAAGUCUGACGGAGCAACGCCGCGUGAGUGAUGAAGGUUUUCGGAUCGUAAAGCUCUGUUGUUAGGGAAGAACAAGUGCAAGAGUAACUGCUUGCACCUUGACGGUACCUAACCAGAAAGCCACGGCUAACUACGUGCCAGCAGCCGCGGUAAUACGUAGGUGGCAAGCGUUGUCCGGAAUUAUUGGGCGUAAAGGGCUCGCAGGCGGUUUCUUAAGUCUGAUGUGAAAGCCCCCGGCUCAACCGGGGAGGGUCAUUGGAAACUGGGAAACUUGAGUGCAGAAGAGGAGAGUGGAAUUCCACGUGUAGCGGUGAAAUGCGUAGAGAUGUGGAGGAACACCAGUGGCGAAGGCGACUCUCUGGUCUGUAACUGACGCUGAGGAGCGAAAGCGUGGGGAGCGAACAGGAUUAGA